UCGAGUGAGAAACUCGGUCGCCGUAAGCCCAAGGUUUCCUGGGGAAGGAUAAUCCUCCCAUGGGUUAGUCGGAGCCUAAGCCGAGGCCGAGAGGCGUAGGUGAUGGAAAGCAGGUUAAUAUUCCUGCACCACCAAGGAUGGCGUUGAAGUAAGCGGGGACGGAGAAGGGUAGGCCGAGCACGGCGUUUGGUCGUCCGUGUUCAAGCCCGUAGGAUGGAUUGCCAGGACCCGAUAGGGACAAACGGCAGUCCGCGUAUCCGAGAGGUGAUGAGGUCCGAGCUUGGCUCGGGAUACUCGGUGAUCCCAGACUUCCAAGAAAAGCCGCGUACAGAGCCCCUUUGGUGUCCGUACCGCAAACCGACUCAGGUGGGCGGGGUGAAUAUCCCAAGGCGCGUGAGAGAACCCUGGUUAAGGAACUCUGCAAAAUGACACCGUAACUUCGGGAGAAGGUGUGCCGGUUCGCGUGAAGAGACUUGCUCUUGGAGCGUGAGCUGGUUGCAGAGAAAUGGGGGUUGUGACUGUUUACUAAAAACACAGGACUCUGCAAAGUCGUAAGACGACGUAUAGGGUCUGAUGCCUGCCCGGUGCUGGAAGGUUAAGGGGACGAGUCAGCGCAAGCGAAGCUCCGAACCGAAGCCCCAGUAAACGGCGGCCGUAACAAUAACGGUCCUAAGGUAGCGAAAUUCCUUGUUGGGUAAGUUCCGACCUGCACGCACGGCAUAACAACAUCCCCGCUGUCUCGACCAGGGACUCAGCGAAAUUGUAUCGGGGGUGAAGAUACCCUCUACCCGCGGCAAGACGGAAAGACCCCAUGAACCUUUACUGCAACUUGGCAGUGAUUUUCGGAAUGUUCUGUGUAGGAUAGGUGGGAGGCUUUGAGACGGGGCUUUUGGGUUCCGUGGAGCCAAUGUUGAAAUACCACCCUGGAUAUUCUGGGAAUCUAACCUGGGCCCGUGAUCCGGGUCAGGGACACUGCCUGGUGGGCAGUUUGACUGGGGCGGUCGCCUCCAAAAAAGUAACGGAGGCGUGCGAAGGUUCCCUCAGCCUGAUUGGAAACCAGGCGUAGAGUGCAAAUGCACAAGGGAGCUUAACUGUGAGACCGACAGGUCGAACAGGUGCGAAAGCAGGCGUUAGUGAUCCGGUGGUUCUGCAUGGAAGGGCCAUCGCUUAUCGGAUAAAAGGUACUCUGGGGAUAACAGGCUGAUCGCGCCUGAGAGUUCACAUCGGCGGCGCGGUUUGGCACCUCGAUGUCGGUGAAAAAGAAAAUA
rnacentral:rRNA from 1 species